GUCCUUUUGUUGAUAAUUUAAGGUCUAGCCUGCCCACUGAAAUUUUAAAUGGCCGUGGUAUUUUGACCGUGCUAAGGUAGCAUAAUCAUUAGUUUUUUAAUUAAAAACUGGAAUGAAAGGUUGAAUAAGAAAAUAGCUGUCUCUGUUAAAUUUAAUUAGAAUUUUAUUUUUAAGUUAAAAAGCUUAAUUAUUGUUAAAAGACGAGAAGACCCUAUAGAGUUUAAUUAUUUAAUAAAAAUUAUAUUUUAGUAUUUAUUUAUUUAUUUUAUUAAAUAAUUUAAUUGGGGUGAUUGAAAAAUUUAAUUAACUUUUUUUAUUUAGAAACAUUAAUUUAUGAAUAAAUGAUCCAAUAUUUUUGAUUAUAAGAUAAAAUUACCUUAGGGAUAACAGCGUAAUUUUUUUAGAAAGUUCAUAUUAAAAAAAAAGAUUGCGACCUCGAUGUUGGAUUAAAAUAAAUUUUUGGUGUAGAAGCUAAAAUAUUAGGUCUGUUCGACCUUUAAAAUUUUACAUGAUCU
rnacentral:rRNA from 1 species